rnacentral:lncRNA from 1 species
CGGCUCCUGGGCUCUAAUGCACAGGUUCAGUAGUUGUGACACAUGGGCUCAGUUGCUCUGCGGCAUGUGGGAUCCUCCCAGAUCAAGGAUCAAACCCAUGUCUCCUGCGUCGGAAGCUGGAUUCUUUACCACUGAGCCACCAGCGAAGCCCAGUCCCUUGAGCUUUGGUCCAGGCUCAGAUUUGAAUCCUAACUCUGCCACUGCCCAUCUGUGGGGCCUGAAUAAGCUCCUCUACCUUCCAGAGCCUCUGUUUCAUCAUGCCAUCUAUAAAAUGGUUCUGAAAAUGCCCAUCUCACAGGGCUAUCAGAACUGGACUAAGUAAGGCGAGAUGGCCCAGUGCAGUGCUAGUUACCCUUCCCCUCCACCUACUCAACUCCAAGCCAGUGAUAAAUGUUUGCUGGACUCAGAAAGGAAGUUUAGAACAUCAUUUAUUGCUGGGUGAAAACUUGAGCCUCACUCUUGAGAAUCUAUAACACUCUCAUGGUCCUGCCUGGAAAUUUUAUUUUACCUCUUUGUACACAUUAUUCAGUUUGUAACUCCGAGUGGCUUUUCUGCUUUGGGUGAGUGUGGGCAUGCUGGCUUGUAAAACGAGAGGCUUUCAUUCAUAUUGUAUGAUGUUUGUGCAGGUGAAACCCAAGUCUCCCACUCAUAAAUAAUCCACCUGUUCUUGCCCUUCUCAAAGGAUAUUUUCUUGCACAAUCUGAAGCCACCGCAGCCACCUGGAAAUCUCCAGAAAGUCAGUGUUGCAGAUUCACUUAAUUUUAUUCAGUCUUGGCCCAUGAACUAUGUACGGGAUGGAGCCAAACGCUAAAGGACGGACUGAAAAAAGUUUCAGUUACGUUGUCAGAGCCCCCAGCAGUGAUGGGUUUGAUAUAAUGAACGUUGAUGUGAAGAUCGACACGUCCUGGAUCUUCCAGGAUGUAGAGGAGAGUGGUGAGGAGCAGGGAUGUUUUCUGGGAGGAGCAGCCAGAAGUCCAGACGUGGACACGGGAACACUCAGGAAGCAGCUGGAAUCCUCGGAGCAGAAGCUGUUGGCAGCUGUGGACAAGCACAUGAUGUCGGAGUCUGGGCUGAGGAGCAGGAUUCAGGAACUGGAGCUGUCGGAGAGGAACCUCCUCCAGAAGGUGGACCAGCUGAGCACUCGCGUGUUCCAGGAGCGAAGCGCCUCUCUCCGGGCCCAGGAGCAGCUGGACGCACUGCAGGGGGAGCUGGCCAGCCAGGUUCGAGAGAACGAGCGCGCGGCCCAGCGGCAGCGGUGGCGGCUGCGGCGGCUGCGGGAGCGGCUGCGGCGCAAGGACGCGGCGCUGGGGCGGCAGGCUUCGGCCCUGGAGCGCGGCAGGCGGAUCCAGCGGCGCCAGCUGCGCCUGGUGCGCGAGCAGGAGCGCAUCCUGCGGGCGCAGGUGCAGCGGCUGGAGCUGGACGUGCGGCGCCUCUGUCGCGCCGCCGGCCUCCUGCUGGCCGAGCUGGACACCCCGAACCCCGGCGGCCCCCGAUUCUCCGGCCCGGGCGACAUCCGGGGCGCCCCCGAAGGGGCUGCGGAGCUGCGCGCGCUGCGGGCCAGGGCCGAGCGCGGCGAGCGCGAGCGGGACCAGGCGGCCCGCCGGCUGCGGGAGCAGCGCGCCACCGAGCGGCGGCUCCGCGAGCAGCUGGAAGAGCUGCGCUGCUGCAUCUAUGGGCUGAAGCUGUCGGAGAUCGGUCUGCAGGCCCAGGUGGAGGAGCUCACCCAGCACAACGAGAGCCUGCGGGGGGAACUGGGAGCCCAGGCGCCCGGGGAGAGAGCGCUCAGCAAGGCCCCCACUGGUCCCCGUAGCCUGGAUGCCCUGGGCCAUGUUCAGGAUGAAUCGCUGCCCCUGCCCCGGGAGGAGGCGCUGGAUGCUUGCAGAAGCCAAGACCCCAACGAGGCACCUGAACAGAGGGGCUCAGCAGGCCAGUCCUCCGAGAGGCCCCAUGCAUGGGGCUGUGUCCGGGCUGGACGAGGCCCUCCUGUUUUGGUCCCCAGCCCGCAGACCACGAACAGGCUCCCCAGAGACCUUGCAGGAUCUGACCGUGGACAGUUUACUCCAGCGGAGCCUUGCUCAGAUGACCAGACUCUCCUUCUCAUCCGUGGCUGCCCCCCGGGGUGGUCCAUGGCUGGCUCACCGGUCCCCGCGGAGCUGACCUGGGUUCCAGGGCAGAAGCUCACAGCCAGGCCUGCCCAGGGGUCCUCUCUCGGUGUGCAGGCGUCCGCACGCCCUCCCCAGGGCCGGGCUGCGGGCCCAGCUCCCUUGCUGCUGCUACUCCUGGAAGCUCCUCCAGAAACACUGCACACCGAACAGGUGCUGGAGGCCCGGCCCCUGCCCGCUCCCUCCGCCGCAGGACACCCUGGCCGGGGCCACCACCAGCCAAGAGGCUGCACUGCUUUCCUCGGCCAGGAGGUCUCACACAUUUCACAUCACCAGAUUCCCGGGAGAGGAUCUGAGGAUGGAAAAGACUCUGGGAAAGCGGGAGGAGGAGCCCCAGGGUCAGGGUGGAGACUGGAGAGGCAGGAGGUGAGGACUUCGGGCAGAAAGCAGGCAGAAAGCAGGGUCAGGUGUCAGCUGGGUCAGGAAAGCGGGGAGAAUCUGAGGGUGGAGGCUGGGGUCAGGGCCCCAGAGGGCACAUGGAUGAAGGCCGGGGCUUCUGAACCCCUAGCCGCAGCAUCCUGCCUUGGGCACAGGCAGGAGCUUCCACUACUUGUUCUGCAGGGGGAGACCUCAGUGUCCUUGGAGGGUCCUGAAUUCCUGAGCAGGUGGGGACAUGAGGAAGGGCAUGUCUGGGGCCUCCAAGGAGAAGAAGGAGGAGGAGGAAGGCUUUUAUCAUCAUCAGAGGAGGAAGAGGCCCCCGCAGCCACAUUCUCGGGGUCUCCGGGCACCAAUGGGCCAUCUUCAGUGGAUGCCCAGCCCCUUACAGAGCAGAGCAGAGCCAUCAGGAGAGUUUAG